AGGGGCUGCUGGCUCACUGUUUUUUUUGGGAUGGUGGGAUACUCUUCUGUUUUUGAGCUAUGUUUUAAUCUCUAGAUGUAUAAACCCACUUGUGUAACUCUCCAGAGGACUAAAACCAGCUUGAUUGAAUGCUACGUAUGGCUUGGCAGCGUAGAUGCAGCAUUACCAAGACACUGAGCAGAGUUGUAUCAGAGUCACCUCUUUCAUCUGCAAAGGGUGCUUUGUGCAGUUGUGGAGAGGGAAGGGAAAUCUUCAUGUCAGGAAGCUCUGAGGGAAGGUGAGUGGUGUCAGCCUGGUCAUGCCUUAUCCGAAGCAAAGGGAAGACGCUCAGGUGUUUCCCUGUGAGGGUCCGAGGUGGCGUGGGUGAUGCUGGCCGCUCCUUUCAAGCUUGGACCUAAUUUGCAGGUCCAGAGGC